CAGGUUUCCAUAGUGUGUCCUACACUGUAACAGGUUUCCAUAGUGUGUCCUACACUGUAACAGGUUUCCAUAGUAUGUCCUACACUGUAACAGGUUUCCAUAGUGUGUCCUACACUGUAACAGAGGUUUCCAUAGUGUGUCCUACACUGUAACAGAGGUUUCCAUAGUGUGUCCUACACUGUAACAGAGGUUUCCAUAGUGUGUCCUACACUGUAACAGAGGUUUC